GACGAACGCUGGCGGCGUGCUUAACACAUGCAAGUCGAACGAUGAAGGAGAGCUUGCUCUCCGGAUUAGUGGCGAACGGGUGAGUAACACGUGACUAACCUGCCCCUUUCUCUGGGAUAACGCUCCGAAAGGAGUGCUAAUACCGGAUACGAACUCUGAACACAUGUUCGGAGUUGGAAAGUUUUUCGGAAAGGGAUGGAGUCGCGGCCUAUCAGCUUGUUGGUGAGGUAACGGCUCACCAAGGCGACGACGGGUAGCCGGCCUGAGAGGGCGACCGGCCACACUGGGACUGAGACACGGCCCAGACUCCUACGGGAGGCAGCAGUGGGGAAUAUUGCACAAUGGGCGGAAGCCUGAUGCAGCGACGCCGCGUGAGGGAUGAAGGUCUUCGGAUUGUAAACCUCUUUCAGUAGGGACGAAGCGAAAGUGACGGUACCUAAAGAAGAAGCACCGGCUAACUACGUGCCAGCCGCCGCGGUAA
rnacentral:rRNA from 1 species